CUGGAGCAGAUAAUCCACUUUAGAGAAAUAACUAAAUGGGACAUGUCUGACAUCUAAUAUUACAGGAUAAAACACAUUUUUGGUUUUGGUUUUGGUUUUGGUUGAGACAGGAUCUCACUAUGUAGUUCAGGCUGACCAUGCACGCAUUACAGGCUGGCCUCAAACUCACAUCUGAACACCUGCCUUAGCCUCCCGAGUGCUGGACUUACAGGUGUGUGCCACUAUACCCAGCUGGAAGACAUAUUUGCUGUCUGCCUCUCUGGAGCUUUUCCUGUUUAUCUCUCUGCUGGUCGCAUGGUCUCCAUGUCUCACUACCUGCCGUGCCAUUCACUCUGGCGGGAUCCUCAUGUUCCAAGACGAGAGAUGAAGCUGUGGCUGUGUGCUCCCCACCUGCACUGAUCACUCCAGCUACCUCCGCUGGGAACAGGGCCAGAAGACAGGCGAGCAGCAAUGCUGAGGCCCUGCCAGGUCUCCACUCCCCAGCUUGUGUGGCUCGCUAAGGAGCCACUAAGUGAGCUGGAGCUCACUAAGGAGCUCCAGCCCAGCUCUUCCUCUCACCCUGGGGCCCGAGACCCUGUGAGUCUAUGCCAGUGACCUCUCCCUCUACAGGGACCGCUUCCUUCCUGCCCAUCCCCAGUGCCCUACAUUUCUCCUCUCUGCCAGUCCAACAGCUAUUACAAAACAGUUGGGGGCUGGGCAGCUUCCCAUGCCUAGCUCUGCCCUGGGCAGCAAGUGACAGCAGGCUCAUGACUCCCACUGAGCCCAGUGCCCUCUGCUCCAAGGCCAGCAGCCUGUGACCUCUGCUCCGAUCCUGUUUUUCAGCAUUCAGAGCCCUGUGUCCAGAGUCUUCCCGUUCAGAUUGAUUACUGGGAUACAGGGCUCAGCUCAGACCUCUUGCUGUGUGUCCCAUACACCUCGCCUGACAGCCCCCAGUGGCCUAGGUUUGUUAUUGUUAUUGUUUAGGGUGUUUGUGUCGUGGUUUCCAGGUUCUUUCCAUUUUGAACAAAGAAUCGAAUGAAACAAGCAAAAAUGGUGGCAGAGUUUAUUUAAAAAAUUAAAAGUAAAGGGUAAGGGGGAAACUAGCUCUGUAGAGUGAAUUUGGGAUGAAUAAAGAGAGGAGAAAUUAAAGCCAAGACAGUGAGCUCUU